GGGGGUGAGUGGGGAAGGGGUGAAUUCAGCAAUUUUAAAAGCUAAACAACAGAUCUACCUCCGGACGCUGCUGCUUCACUCAAUUGCAACUAACAACCCAUUAAAGACAGCGCAGGGGGAACCGGAUUCUCUCCUGCAAAGCGACAUAAAUCCAGCGAAAACCCAUUAAACCGCCACCACCACCACCAAGCCACGCAGCACUACACACCACAGCAAACAACAGUGAAGGCGAUGGUUACUGCUGUCAAUCUUGGCAAUCAAUGUGAGCGGCCAUGUCGCUGUAAAACUCAACACACUAUUGGAGUCGUGCACAUUGCAUCCUCUACCUUGCUAUCCGAGGCUAAAACCAGCCAGAGCAGCCCGCGGAGGCAGAUGUUGAGGAGGGAUGCUGAGCUGCUGUGGGUCCCUGCAGAGGGAAGGGAUCGGAGGCGCUCGGUUCACGUCGGGGCACUUACCUGUUCACGGCUGUCAUUGCAUUUUGCGCCGUCUCUCUCAUUAAAUGCGUUAAAGUAAAGCAAUAUUCA